rnacentral:rRNA from 1 species
CGUAGGCGGCUUGGUAAGUCAGAUGUGAAAACCGGGGGCUCAACCCGCGGCCUGCAUCUGAAACUGUCAGGCUUGAGUCUGGUAGAGGAAAGUGGAAUUCCCAGUGUAGCGGUGAAAUGCGCAGAUAUUGGGAGGAACACCAGUGGCGAAGGCGGCUUUCUGGGCCACGACUGACGCUGAGGCGCGAAAGCUAGGGGAGCAAACAGGAUUAGAUACCCUGGUAGUCCUAGCCGUAAACGAUGGGCACUAGGUGUGGGGGGUCAUCAACUCCCUCCGUGCCGCAGCUAACGCAUUAAGUGCCCCGCCUGGGGAGUACGGCCGCAAGGCUAAA